rnacentral:rRNA from 1 species
AGCGAACGCUGGCGGCAGGCCUAACACAUGCAAGUCGAACGAAGUCUUCGGACUUAGUGGCGGACGGGUGAGUAACACGUGGGAACGUACCUUUUGGUUCGGAACAACUCAGGGAAACUUGAGCUAACACCGGAUGAGCCCUUAGGGGGAAAGAUUUAUCGCCGAAAGAGCGGCCCGCGUUAGAUUAGCUAGUUGGUGAGGUAAAGGCAAACCAAGGCUACGAUCUAUAGCUGGUCUGAGAGGAUGAUCAGCCACACUGGGACUGAGACACGGCCCAGACUCCUACGGGAGGCAGCAGUGGGGAAUCUUGCGCAAUGGGCGAAAGCCUGACGCAGCCAUGCCGCGUGAAUGAUGAAGGUCUUAGGAUUGUAAAAUUCUUUUACCAGGGACGAUAAUGACGGUACCUGGAGAAAAAGCCCCGGCUAACUUCGUGCCAGCCGCCGCGGUAAAAC